AGAACGAACGCUGGCGGCAGGCUUAACACAUGCAAGUCGAACGCUCGUAGCAAUACGGGAGUGGCAGACGGGUGAGUAACGCGUGGGAACAUACCCUCCGGUUCGGAAUAGCUCAGGGAAACUUGGAUUAAUACCGGAUACGGCCGAGAGGCGAAAGAUUUAUCGCCGGAGGAUUGGCCCGUGUUCGAUUAGCUAGUUGGUGAGGUAACGGCUCACCAAGGCGAUGAUCGAUAGCUGGUCUGAGAGGAUGAUCAGCCACAUUGGGACUGAGACACGGCCCAAACUCCUACGGGAGGCAGCAGUGGGGAAUAUUGGCAAAAUGGGCGCAAGCCUGAUCCAGCCAUGCCGCGUGAGUGAUGACGGCCUUAGGGUUGUAAAGCUCUUUCGCUCGGGACGAUAAUGACGGUACCGAGAUAAGAAGCCCGGCUAACUUCGUGCCAGCAGCCGC
rnacentral:rRNA from 1 species